AAAAAAAACAAACCCUGGUUUCCGUGCUCAAAGUUUGACCGUCCGUCUUAUUUGAAAAAAUUAUUUUUAUGAAAAAAAUUAAAAAGACAAGUCACGCAUAAAAUAUUAAUCAUGUUUUAUCAUCUAACAACAAUGAAAAUACAAAUUAUAAAAAAAAAUCAUAUAAGACGGACAGUCAAAGUUGGACACGGAAACUCAGGGUUUGCCUUUUU
rfam:Oryza rufipogon genomic scaffold, chr05